GGCCCCGUAGCUCAGCGGAUAGAGCACCGGCCUUCUAAGCCGAUGGUCGCAGGUUCGAGUCCUGCCGGGGUCG
rnacentral:tRNA from 2 species